rnacentral:rRNA from 1 species
UUUAUGGAGAGUUUGAUCCUGGCUCAGAGUGAACGCUGGCGGCGUGCCUAAUACAUGCAAGUCGAACGAUGAAGCUUCUAGCUUGCUAGAAUGCUGAUUAGUGGCGCACGGGUGAGUAACGCAUAGGUUAUGUGCCUCUUAGUUUGGGAUAGCCAUUGGAAACGAUGAUUAAUACCAGAUACUCCCUACGGGGGAAAGAUUUAUCGCUAAGAGAUCAGCCUAUGUCCUAUCAGCUUGUUGGUAAGGUAAUGGCUUACCAAGGCUAUGACGGGUAUCCGGCCUGAGAGGGUGAACGGACACACUGGAACUGAGACACGGUCCAGACUCCUACGGGAGGCAGCAGUAGGGAAUAUUGCUCAAUGGGGGAAACCCUGAAGCAGCAACGCCGCGUGGAGGAUGAAGGUUUUAGGAUUGUAAACUCCUUUUGUUAGAGAAGAUAAUGACGGUAUCUAACGAAUAAGCACCGGCUAACUCCGUGCCAGCAGCCGCGGUAAUACGGAGGGUGCAAGCGUUACUCGGAAUCACUGGGCGUAAAGAGCGCGUAGGCGGGAUAGUCAGUCAGGUGUGAAAUCCUAUGGCUUAACCAUAGAACUGCAUUUGAAACUACUAUUCUAGAGUGUGGGAGAGGUAGGUGGAAUUCUUGGUGUAGGGGUAAAAUCCGUAGAGAUCAAGAGGAAUACUCAUUGCGAAGGCGACCUGCUGGAACAUUACUGACGCUGAUUGUGCGAAAGCGUGGGGAGCAAACAGGAUUAGAUACCCUGGUAGUCCACGCCCUAAACGAUGGAUGCUAGUUGUUGGAGGGCUUAGUCUCUCCAGUAAUGCAGCUAACGCAUUAAGCAUCCCGCCUGGGGAGUACGGUCGCAAGAUUAAAACUCAAAGGAAUAGACGGGGACCCGCACAAGCGGUGGAGCAUGUGGUUUAAUUCGAAGAUACACGAAGAACCUUACCUAGGCUUGACAUUGAGAGAAUCCGCUAGAAAUAGUGGAGUGUCUAGCUUGCUAGACCUUGAAAACAGGUGCUGCACGGCUGUCGUCAGCUCGUGUCGUGAGAUGUUGGGUUAAGUCCCGCAACGAGCGCAACCCCCUUUCUUAGUUGCUAACAGGUUAUGCUGAGAACUCUAAGGAUACUGCCUCCGUAAGGAGGAGGAAGGUGGGGACGACGUCAAGUCAUCAUGGCCCUUACGCCUAGGGCUACACACGUGCUACAAUGGGGUGCACAAAGAGAAGCAAUACUGCGAAGUGGAGCCAAUCUUCAAAACACCUCUCAGUUCGGAUUGUAGGCUGCAACUCGCCUGCAUGAAGCUGGAAUCGCUAGUAAUCGCAAAUCAGCCAUGUUGCGGUGAAUACGUUCCCGGGUCUUGUACUCACCGCCCGUCACACCAUGGGAGUUGUGUUUGCCUUAAGUCAGGAUGCUAAAUUGGCUACUGCCCACGGCACACACAGCGACUGGGGUGAAGUCGUAACAAGGUAACCGUAGGUGAACCUGCGGUUGGAUCACCUCCUUU